rnacentral:lncRNA from 1 species
AUGUGGGAUUUGGAGUUUGACCCCGCCCACGUCUCCAGAACUCCGGUAACAGAGCGAACCGAUGGCAGGAAUGGAGAGCAGGUCCGACCGCUCAGAUACCACCUGAACCCGCCGCCUGACAUACCUCUGACUCCGCCCCAAAAAGAGGCCAAUGACAGACCGGCCCCUCCUAAUAAGCCCCUCCCUCCUGACCCCGCUCUAACCCCUCCAUCAAAGUCGGUUAAGCAGCGACCGGCCCCCCCCACCAAGCCUCUGCCCCCUGACCCCCCCUCCCCCAGCCACCAGGGGCGGGCAAGUCGACCGGCUCCGCCCAGCAAGCCACUCCCCCCUGACCCAGUUUCAGCUGAACAGGUGUCUGUUCCUCUCAAACCUGUUGUGCCCCCAAAGCCCCGCCUUCCAGCCCCACCCACUAACCCCCAGCUGCCGGCCCACCCGGGCCUCCCGCCCCACCUGAGGUACGCUUCCCAUGGAGCUGUGGCCCCGGCCCCUGGGCCCAGCAGACGACCUCCUCUUCGUCCAAGUCGACCCCCGGCCCCUCCCAAAGCCGAGUCCCCCGUCUGACGGUGAGUGUGGACCCUCUUGGGGACUGGACGCCAUGGAGACAAAGAGGAAGAGGAGGAUUUUCUAUCUGUUUUGCACUCAGUUGUUGGAUUGAAUCCUUCAUCAAGUCAGACUGUAAAUACUGUCAGUGCCUUGCUCAGCAGCUCCUGCGCAGAGACUGCUAACAUUGCUGCUUCCAGGGGCUCCAGUGCGCCCCCUGCUGACAGCCUAGUGCCUUUCUCAAGGACGCCUGAACAAAAUCAAACUUGCCUACAGAUGAAGCUCGGGUUCCUGUUCCGGCUGUGGCGCCCCCCGAUGGCGGCAGGAGAGAGAGUCCUGUGGGAGCAUCUGUCAGGCAAACGCAGCGCCGUCGUCCUCACAGAGCAGAGGUUUGUGGGAAGGCUUCAGCCAACCAGAAGACAUCCUGAAGGUGGGAAUGUGAUGAGAAUCCCGUCUCAUUUAGCGGCGCAGACAAAAAUGUGGACAGGAAGUCGAGACGUUUGGAGGAACGAGUCCAAAUAAAGCCGAUCUUUCAACGUUAAAACUGAAAUGUUUGGUUUAUUUAAAACAAAAGAAAUGUAGACAAACGAGAGAAAAUGUUUCAGAGCUGAAGCUAAAGUUUGGGUUCUGUGAAGUCAUUUUUCUGAACAUUUUGUUGUAAAACAUGAAGGACCCUCAAAACCAGCAUUUCU